UGGGGAAUUUUGGACAAUGGGCGAAAGCCUGAUCCAGCAAUGCCGCGUGUGUGAAGAAGGCCUUCGGGUUGUAAAGCACUUUUGUCCGGAAAGAAAUCCUUGGCUCUAAUACAGUCGGGGGAUGACGGUACCGGAAGAAUAAGCACCGGCUAACUACGUGCCAGCAGCCGCGGUAAUACGUAGGGUGCAAGCGUUAAUCGGAAUUACUGGGCGUAAAGCGUGCGCAGGCGGUUUGCUAAGACCGAUGUGAGAUCCCCGGGCUCAACCUGGGAACUGCAUUGGUGACUGGCAGGCUAGAGUAUGGCAGAGGGGGGUAGAAUUCCACGUGUAGCAGUGAAAUGCGUAGAGAUGUGGAGGAAUACCGAUGGCGAAGGCAGCCCCCUGGGCCAAUACUGACGCUCAUGCACGAAAGCGUGGGGAGCAAACAGGAUUAGAUACCCUGGUAGUCCACGCCCUAAACGAUGUCAACUAGUUGUUGGGGAUUCAUUUCCUUAGUAACGUAGCUAACGCGUGAAGUUGACCGCCUGGGGAGUACGGUCGCAAGAUUAAAACUUAAUGAAUUGACGGGGUCAUAGCUGUUUCCU
rnacentral:rRNA from 1 species